rnacentral:rRNA from 1 species
GAUGAACGCUGGCGGCGUGCCUAAUACAUGCAAGUCGAGCGAACGGACGAGAAGCUUGCUUCUCUGAUGUUAGCGGCGGACGGGUGAGUAACACGUGGAUAACCUACCUAUAAGACUGGGAUAACUUCGGGAAACCGGAGCUAAUACCGGAUAAUAUUUUGAACCGCAUGGUUCAAAAGUGAAAGACGGUCUUGCUGUCACGUAUAGAUGGAUCCGCGCUGCAUUAGCUAGUUGGUAAGGUAACGGCUUACCAAGGCUACGAUGCAUAGCCGACCUGAGAGGGUGGUCGGCCACACUGGAACUGAGACUCGGUCCAGACUCCUACGGGAAGCAGCAGUAGAGAAUCUUCCGCAAUGGGCGAAAGCCUAACGUAGCAACGCCGCGUGAGUGAUGAAGGUCUUCGGAUCGUAAAACUCUGUUAUUAGGGAAGAACAUAUGUGUAAGUAACUGUGCACAUCUUGACGGUACCUAAACAGAAAGCCACGGCUAACUACGUG